rnacentral:rRNA from 1 species
UUUUAUGGAGAGUUUGAUCCUGGCUCAGGAUGAACGCUGGCGGCGUGCCUAAUACAUGCAAGUCGAGCGAACGGACGAGAAGCUUGCUUUUCUGAUGUUAGCGGCGGACGGGUGAGUAACACGUGGAUAACCUACCUAUAAGACUGGGAUAACUUCGGGAAACCGGAGCUAAUACCGGAUAAUAUUUUGAACCGCAUGGUUCAAAAGUGAAAGACGGUCUUGCUGUCACUUAUAGAUGGAUCCGCGCUGCAUUAGCUAGUUGGUAAGGUAACGGCUUACCAAGGCAACGAUGCAUAGCCGACCUGAGAGGGUGAUCGGCCACACUGGAACUGAGACACGGUCCAGACUCCUACGGGAGGCAGCAGUAGGGAAUCUUCCGCAAUGGGCGAAAGCCUGACGGAGCAACGCCGCGUGAGUGAUGAAGGUCUUCGGAUCGUAAAACUCUGUUAUUAGGGAAGAACAUAUGUGUAAGUAACUGUGCACAUCUUGACGGUACCUAAUCAGAAAGCCACGGCUAACUACGUGCCAGCAGCCGCGGUAAUACGUAGGUGGCAAGCGUUAUCCGGAAUUAUUGGGCGUAAAGCGCGCGUAGGCGGUUUUUUAAGUCUGAUGUGAAAGCCCACGGCUCAACCGUGGAGGGUCAUUGGAAACUGGAAAACUUGAGUGCAGAAGAGGAAAGUGGAAUUCCAUGUGUAGCGGUGAAAUGCGCAGAGAUAUGGAGGAACACCAGUGGCGAAGGCGACUUUCUGGUCUGUAACUGACGCUGAUGUGCGAAAGCGUGGGGAUCAAACAGGAUUAGAUACCCUGGUAGUCCACGCCGUAAACGAUGAGUGCUAAGUGUUAGGGGGUUUCCGCCCCUUAGUGCUGCAGCUAACGCAUUAAGCACUCCGCCUGGGGAGUACGACCGCAAGGUUGAAACUCAAAGGAAUUGACGGGGACCCGCACAAGCGGUGGAGCAUGUGGUUUAAUUCGAAGCAACGCGAAGAACCUUACCAAAUCUUGACAUCCUUUGACAACUCUAGAGAUAGAGCCUUCCCCUUCGGGGGACAAAGUGACAGGUGGUGCAUGGUUGUCGUCAGCUCGUGUCGUGAGAUGUUGGGUUAAGUCCCGCAACGAGCGCAACCCUUAAGCUUAGUUGCCAUCAUUAAGUUGGGCACUCUAAGUUGACUGCCGGUGACAAACCGGAGGAAGGUGGGGAUGACGUCAAAUCAUCAUGCCCCUUAUGAUUUGGGCUACACACGUGCUACAAUGGACAAUACAAAGGGCAGCGAAACCGCGAGGUCAAGCAAAUCCCAUAAAGUUGUUCUCAGUUCGGAUUGUAGUCUGCAACUCGACUACAUGAAGCUGGAAUCGCUAGUAAUCGUAGAUCAGCAUGCUACGGUGAAUACGUUCCCGGGUCUUGUACACACCGCCCGUCACACCACGAGAGUUUGUAACACCCGAAGCCGGUGGAGUAACCUUUUAGGAGCUAGCCGUCGAAGGUGGGACAAAUGAUUGGGGUGAAGUCGUAACAAGGUAGCCGUAUCGGAAGGUGCGGCUGGAUCACCUCCUUUCUAA